GCCAGGUUGGAUGGGGCCCUGAGCAGCUGAGCUGGUGGGGGACAGCCCUGCCCACAGCAGAGUUGGGACUUGUGGGCUUUAAGAUCCCUUCCAACCUAAGCCAUUCUAUGGUUCUGUGAUUUGUUUAUAAGGCUUGAGUAUUAAUAUAUACAGAACUUUUAUUCAGGACAGAGAAGAAAGUAAUAAGAAGACAUUUCUUUGCCAGUGAAUUAGGCAGUAUAUCUUCUCCGAGGUAUGUAGACAAUAGAUCAAUUGUGAAUGUGUAAGUAAUAAAUGGGAAGAGAGCAAAUGCUGUCAUUGUGGUGAGAGUUUGCUGUAGACUUCAAAUGAGACCUGUUUGAGGUGCACGGGGUUAUUCUGUGACUAACCAAGCUGAAUCAUCUGUGUUGAUAGUAAUGGGGAAUUGUAGCUAUGCAAGCAUCUCCUAGGAAGUGAAUUCAGCAAAAUACAGGCAGGUUCUCAGCACAGCUUUGAUAUGGAAGGUUUGAGGAAAGCAGCCAAAUGGAAAAGAUCUUCUGCGUUCGUUCUCACCAGUGAAGCCUAAUCAUCUCUCAGUGCGUGGCCUGAGUAAGAGAUUAUGAGGUGAUACGAGUUCACUCUUAGAAACUGAAAGGGAGAGAGGAGCAAGUAAUUUUUGAAUAGAGCCAAUGUUGCUUAUUUUUACAUAGUAGUGCCAGGAAUUAAGUUUAUGGUUGAGUUAUUUGAUACCUACUGAGCUCUAACAACAGGCUUUGCUGAACUGAAGUAUUUUUCAAAACUUUUUUUCUCUCCUAGGCAGGUAGUUUUGUGACCCUUACAAGAAUGUAAUGACUUGAAGCAACCCUGUCAGCAUUUGGUGAAUUUUGUCAAAUUUGGUGAAAAUUUAUCAUGGAGUUCACUUUUCCUUAAUAAGCCUAGCAAAUAGCAAACUUGCACAAAGAAGACCUCUGUAAUCUCAGAUGAUGAAAAGGAAACAUGGUACGGGGAAAAAAGUCGAAAGAGAACAGAGUUCAGGAGAGCUGGCAUGUCCUUCAAGAAAUUAUACUACCGGUAGGCGUACAAAUUACUCAGUAUGGAGGACUAAGGGUUCAUCAGCAUCUUCAAACAAAAGAGGAAGUGCAGCAAAAGGAUUAGGAUUAAGUUUAAAAAGAUACUAGAACACAAUGGAAUGUAGGUACCCAGAGAGAUUGGUAGAUAAAGAAAAGGAGAGGUGGUCCAUUACUGCACAGAAAACAAAAGCUGUAGGCAACGUUUCUGCAGAGUAUUCAAAUUUAGGACAUUAAUCCCAGACUUUGGUAAAAUCAGUUGCACAAAUACCUGAUGAGGUAUCAUUAGAUACAUACGUGUUUGCUAUACUUGCAGAACAUGAUUAGAUUGCCACCCCUGUUUUAGGAUCAAGGAACUGGUAAUAUAAUAAUGAUACAGUCCAGAUUUGUUAUUUUAGUGCCUAUACCAGAUCAAUUCAUGGUGGGAGGAAAGACAGUGGGCACAUUAGAGGUAGGUUGUUAGUGGGGAUGAUUAUCCCCAGAUGACUACUGGCAAGAGGUGAGCAUGGAGAAAUGAUGGUGGGUGAAUGUCAGAGGGGAGUAACAUGUAUUGAUUGUAUUUAUGAAACACGGUGAGCUGACCACAAGAUCCAUAAUAGUAUAUUGGCUCAUUAUUAUUGUACCAAACAAAUAUUAGCUCUAAUAUAGAUUACAUCUUUACUUUUAAUCCCCACUGUCGCUGAGGGAACCGUGAACUUCCAGCAAAGGAUCUGAUGGGAAGGGAGUAAACACAUGGUCUUGCAGAGAAGCUGCCAGCUGUCGCAUCCCACUGAAAUGGAUGUUUUAGAGCCUGGAAACCAUUGCAGGAACUGCAUGUCAAGCUGUAGAUCAAUGAAGCCCAACUCUUUCUUGCCUUAGAAUGAAGUUUGCCCAAGCUCCUCUCUGCUGUCAUGUGCAUUAUCUCCUCCUUUUAAUGGCAAAGAACUGAAGAUCAACAGGACAGGUUUGCACCUCAUGCUUGUGGGCAAAGGUGGCAACACUAAAAUUUGUAGGUAAAAAGUUUGUAAGAGAGAAGGUUAUUAUGUAAAAAGACAACAACAACAGCAACAACAAAACUUAACUUCUAAGGCACUGACUUUAGAAUAAUUUUUCUUCCACUGAAAAUAAGAAGGAGGACUCAAACAAAGCCAGCUUGCAAUGAAUGAGAAACGUUCAGCUCUGUUAACAAAAUAUGGCUGUAAGGCCAGUGAUUUCCAUCUGAGAAAUUGUCCGUGUCCUCAUUGGCAAUACCAGCUGAAGGCAUUACCGGUUACUGCCAGUACCACAGUGCAUUGCCGCCUUCUUGUUUGUGCCAGUGCCUGAACGCGACCAGGAUAUUAAUCUGUCUCUAGCAGAAAAUAAAAAAAAAUGUGUUGCUUA